rnacentral:ncRNA from 2 species
UUAGAUAAGAACACUCGAGGUGCCGUUCUGACGAAGAGCGGAGAAUUGGGAAGCCGGUUGAAAUCCGGCGCUGCCCCCGCAACGGUGGAGGAGAAAAGCGCGGCGAGACGCCACUGGACGGAAAGGUCCGGGAAGGCGCCGCGAUGGUCCGGAAGGACGCUCCUGAGCCCGGAAACCAGCCUUGGGUGUGAUCGUGAC